CAGCCGUAAACUAUGCGCGUUAGGUGUAUCGGUGACCACGAGUUACCGAGGUGCCGAAGGGAAACCGUGAAACGUGCCGCCUGGGAAGUACGGUCGCAAGGCCGAAACUUAAAGGAAUUGGCGGGGGAGCACCACAACAGGUGGAGCCUGCGGUUUAAUUGGACUCAACGCCGGGAAGCUCACCGGAUAGGACAGCAGAAUGAUUGCCGGGCUGAAGACCCUGCAUGACUAGCUGAGAGGAGGUGCAUGGCGUCAGUGACU
rnacentral:rRNA from 1 species